CGCAUAAAAGUCCGGUUUACACGCGGGUAAAACUGAAAGGCACCAACAUGCAGAUGCAUACAGAAAUUCAAAUAUACAUAUACAUACUUUGUACUCCAUCCGAGGCCUCGUUUACUUCUCCACCGUGUGCUCCAGGUAGGCUCCUCCUGCCAUGGACAACGCUAUGCACAGCUCCAUCGCCUCCGUCCCAGCGUCCAGCGGCUCAUCCAGCCGGAUCGUUCACUCAAGGUCUUGGGGCUGGGUUUUCUGCCAUGGCACACAUGCUCUGUGAGAAUACUACUCUGUUCUAGGUCCACAAAUAUCAGCUGCUAAUGAUAGAAGGGCUCAGGUUAAGAGGCCCGCAGAGUAUUCGACAUUACCGCCGUCUGGAAUCCUCCUGAUAUGGACAUCGAUCAUCACAGCAGAAGACAGCGUACUAUCACCUGAAUUCCUGAAAGACAGCAGCGACAUCCAGAUAUCGAUAUCAGCGAUCUUGUAGGCACCAGGGAAAUAUACAAGUAAGCAGCAACACAUGCUUGCAUAAACUCGUGGAAGGAAGGUGGCGGCGCUUCAGAGUAAUUCGAAAUCAGAAGGUGAGCUUUGUACUCAAUAUUACGUAACAGGGAUGUGUGUACCUUGAUGAUUUGGCAUCUCCAUCGGAGGGGACACAAAAUUAGGUGAAGCCAUCUCUUGAUGCUCCAUGCCCGUGCUACAGCCAGCCAGGAAGCAGCAGCAGCACAAGUUUGAUGUGAUGGCGCUGGAACCAGCAAAAUAUAUUGUCCUGCAGAGGCAUUGCCAGAGUAGGAGUCAAGUUAUGCAGGAAAGAAUGGUAGAUAAUUAAAAGCAUUAAUUGGAUAUAUAUAUAUAUACACACACAAAAGGCACAUGGAAAAAUAGAUAUCGCAUGGAUAUGGACAAAAAAGGCAGGUAUGACAUGGCAGUAACUGAAGCAUGGAAAUACACAAAAACAUAACAAUAGAAAGAAAAGAAAAGAAAAACAGAUCUGAACAUGAUACCCACUCUGCUAUGACGUGAAAAUACAGAGAAAAAUCAAAGCUGCGAACAACACAAAACUUUAGGCCAACGAGGUAAAGCCAUCCAUCUUAACUCGACGUCCCUGCUACGGCCAGUGAGCAAGCAGCACAGGUUUCAUGCAAUGACACCAAGACCAAAGAUAAUUAAAGCAUUAAUUACAUGUACAAAAAGGCAAGUAUGACAUGGAAAUAAGUGACACAUGUAAAUAUACAAAAGGCAGGAAUGACAUGGAAGUAACUGAAGAAUGGAAAUAGGCAAAAACAUAAUAAUGGGACGGAAAAAAACAUAUCUGAGCAUGAUACCAACUCUGCCAUGACGUGAGAAUACAGAGAAAACUCGAAGCUGCGAAACAACACUAAAAGGAUAGACUAACGAGGUGAAGCCAUCUCUUAACUCGACACCCCUGCUACAGCCAGGGAGCAGCACAGGUUUCCUGCGGUAACACCGAGACCAGAGGUCGCUGGUUCCAAAGUAUUAUC
rnacentral:lncRNA from 1 species